CUCUGCUAAUGAUGGCUUCACUCAGAUUGUGCUUUCUUGGACUCUUGAAGACAUUUCUAAUGAAAAUCUUUAUAAGGUUCACUCUGUUUAUCCAUCUUCAUAUUUUUGUUAGGGUUUUUUGGGUUUUGUUUUUGUUUUCUUUUUUAAUAUGCAUGUUGGUCUUUUUUCCCUGCUUGUGAAUUAGUUUUCAACUUUUUGGAUACUUGAAGCUUUGUUGUUUGACCUUUUGGUAACUUUUAAUUGUGUAAUAUAGAGCUUGAAUGAAAUAGGGGAAAAUACAUUUUAGUGAGGGGAAAAUACAUUUAUUUUCCUCAUUUUUUGUGUGGAAAUCUGAGACUUUUGGCUCUCUUUGUUGUAUUUCUCAAUCUAAUUUAGUUUUCACAUUCCAUUCAUGACUAGAGCGUAUUUAUGUAUGUUUUUGUUAUAUAAUAAAGAGAUUUUGGAGUAGUAUAAUGUGUGCGUGCAUAUAUAUAAAUAUAUAUACAGGUUAAGGGAAAUUGUAUUACCUGUCCUGAGGAGAAUUGUUGCAGAUCUGAUGAGAAGUUAGUGAAGAGUCUAUCUUCCAAUAUGAAUGAGUCUCAGACUAGUGCAGUUGUUGCCUGUCUUCACAUGAUGCUACUCUUCUUGUUUCCCUCUUAAAGAUGAACUACAGAACUCUUGUUUGUGCACCAACAAAUGUUGCAAUAACUGAAGUGGCUUCUCAAGUCCUGAAGAUAGUUACAGAGUCUAAAUCCAUGUUCUGCUCAUUAGGAGAUAUUCUUCUGUUUGGCAAUACGGAGGAACUCAAAGUUGGCUCAGAUGUUAAAGAUGUAUUUUUGGAAUAUCGAGUUCAAAGGCUUGCGGAGUGUUUAGGUCCGGAUGGUUGGAACCAUUGCUUUCCUUCCAUGAUAAGCUUACUUGAACGUUGGGUUUCUCAGUACCGUGUUUUCCUGGAAUCUGAAUUGAUAAGAGAACAACAAGAACAGAGCUGUGGAACUAAUAUUAAAGAAGAAAUCAUAGAAAAGUUCAAACCAUUUCUUGAUUACAUGAGACAAAGGUUUGCUUCCACUGUCAAGCAGUUGAGAAAAUGCAUUUGGAUCUUUUGUACGCAUUUACCUCAAAGUUUCAUUUUGGAUCAAAAUUUUCUAAACAUGACAACCCUUACUGUGUUACUUGAUAGUUUUGAAGCACUUCUGUUACAAGCAAGAUUUCUGAGGAAGCUAGUUUUGGAAGAAGUUUGUUUCAGAGGUUGAGCGCACUGAACCAUUUGGUUUUUUACACAUCAUGGCAUGAGACCAAAGCUAAACUUAGUAUUGGUGUGGUGUCUCCCUAUUCUGCUCAAGUUGUUGCAAUUCAAAGAGAAGGUUGGAAAGAAGUAUGACUAUAUUAAUGGCUUUCGAGUGAAAUUGAAAACAAUUGACGGGUUCCAGGGUGGGGACGAAGACAUUAUACUAAUGUCAACCGUAAGAUCUGAUAUAGGCCAGACAUUGGAUUUCAUAUCCAAACCUCAGAGAACGAAUGUUGCUCUCACUAGAGCUAGGCAUUGCUUGUGGAUACUUGGUAAUGAAAGAACCCUUGCUAAUAGUCAAUCUAUUUGGGAAGUUCUAGUCAUUGAUGCAAAAAAGCGUCUCUGUUUCUAUAAUGCUGAUGAAGAUGUGAGUUUGGUGAAGGCUAUGUUAGAGAUAAAGAAAGAGCUUGAUCAAUUCGAUGAUCUUCUUACUGCUGAUAGCAUGCUUUUUAGUAAUUCGAAGUGGAAGGUAAUUUUUAGUGCUCAGUGCUACGAGUAUAGGAUAACUUAGAUGCCCUGUUCUGUCUUUAGCUGCAUUAUGUCCAUUCCCUGUUGUCCCUUGAAUUUCAGUUGUAUUGUUACAACAGUUAUGGUUGUUACAGUAGUUAUGUUAGUUAUAGUCAGUGGGCAGUUUGGUCAAUUCAGUAAGUGUCUGUACCUAUAUAUAAUUUGUACUCUUUCCUUUAUUUCAAUGUAUGAGAAACUAUUUUAGAUAAUUCAUUUCUUUUAACAUGGUAUCAGAGCACAUGUGUUUCUCUACCCCUUCUUGAACUUCGUUGAUACUUGAUUCUCUUCUUCCAUAUCGUUGAUCGUUCAUGGAAUCCUCUCCGACUCUCUCUUCAGCAACCAGCCAGAACAGAGGUACUAGUUCUGGUGGUGCACCGUUCACACCCGUUGUCUUCUCACACAAAUUGGCUACCAAACUUGAUCAUGAUAAUUACCUGUUAUGGAGGCCUCAAGUUCUUUCCGCCAUUAGAGGCCACAAACUCCAGCAAUACAUCUCUGAGAAAUUUACUCCUCCACCUCAAUUCCUUUCUGAACAAGAUCGA